GAAGAUAAUUAGACGAUCGCCCCCCGAUUUAUCGGGGGAAGGAAAGUCCGAACACCAGGAGCACAAUACUACGUAACACGUAGUUCCAGCGAUGGAAAGAAAGUGCCACAGAAAAUAAACCGCCCCGAUUUAUCGGGACAAGGGUGAAAAGGUGGUGUAAGAGACCACCAGUGCCGGUGGUGACAUCGGCAGAUCGGUAAACCUUAUUGGUGCAAGGUCAAAUAGAAGAGGAAUCCGCCAACUGGCGGAUACGAAUCGCUCCAUUCGUCAUACUCUCGGGUAGACCGCCAAACUCAAUCACAGAACGGACUGUGAGCUCUUCUUCGGAAAAGUGCUGUGAAGCUUGAGACAGAUAAAUGAUCGUCGUCCUGAACUUAUACUUCGGGAAACAGAAUUCGGCUUAUUAUUAUCUUCUGCA
rnacentral:RNase_P_RNA from 1 species